UUCGGUGGCCACAGCGGUGGGGAAACACCCGGUCCCAUUCCGAACCCGGAAGUUAAGCCCACCAGCGCCGAUGGUACUGCACCCGGGAGGGUGUGGGAGACUAGGACGCCGCCGGAC
rnacentral:rRNA from 1 species